CAGUAGCCGCGGUAAUACGUAGGUGGCAAGCGUUGUCCGGAAUUAUUGGGCGUAAAGGGCUCGCAGGCGGUAUCUUAAGUCUGAUGUGAAAGCCCCCGGCUCAACCGGGGAGGGUCAUUGGAAACUGGGAAACUUGAGUGCAGAAGAGGAGAGUGGAAUUCCACGUGUAGCGGUGAAAUGCGUAGAGAUGUGGAGGAACACCAGUGGCGAAGGCGGCUCUCUGGUCUGUAACUGACGCUGAGGAGCGAAAGCGUGGGGAGCGAACAGGAUUAGAUACCCGUGUAGUCCCUGUCUCUUAUAC
rnacentral:rRNA from 1 species